rnacentral:rRNA from 1 species
UGCAUAUCAAAAAGCGGAGGAAAAGAAAAUAACCAUGAUUCCCCUAGUAACGGCGAGUGAAGAGGGAAAAGCUCAAAGUUGGAACCUGGCUGCCCUAGGCAGUCCGGAUUUUUUGCAUAUUUCCAAUAGCGGAGGAAAAGAAACCAACAGGGAUUGCCUCAGUAACGGCGAGUGAAGCGGCAACAGCUCAAAUUUGAAAUCUGGCCUCCCGGGGUCCGAGUUGUAAUUUGUAGAGGAUGUUUUGGGUACCGCCCCGGUUUAAAUUUCUUGGAACAGAAUGUCAGAGAGGGUGAGAAUCCCGUCUUGGACCGGCGGUAGGGCCUGUGUAAAACUCCUUCGACGAGUCGAGUUGUUUGGGAAUGCAGCUCAAAAUGGGUGGUAAAUUUCAUCUAAAGCUAAAUAUUGGCCAGAGACCGAUAGCGCACAAGUAGAGUGAUCGAAAGAUGAAAAGAACUUUGAAAAGAGAGUUAAACAGUAUGUGAAAUUGUUGAAAGGGAAGCGCUUGCAACCAGACUUGAGCGCGACGGUUCCCCUAGCCUUUUGGCUAGGUUACUCCGUCGUGUCCAGGCCAACAUCGGUUCUGAGGGUCGGUCAAAGGCUCUGGGAAUGUAUCUACCCACGGGUAGACUUAUAGACCAGGGUGUCAUGCGACCUCUCGGGACCGAGGAACGCGCUUCGGCUCGGAUGUUGGCGUAAUGGUUGUCAGCGACCCGUCUUAAUCCCCGAACAAAUAAUAAGCUUGCUGAUGUGCUAGGUUACACCGAGUCUAGUCGCCUACUAGAACUGUAAUCUACUUUGGUUAUUGGCUUAAUGACUCUAAAUGGCCCGUCUUGAACCACGGACCAAA